GUAACUAUGAGCUCUAUGAACUACAUUUCAUAACCAUUCCUGCCAUAGGUGCCUGCCUUGACGUCCAGCCCUACCCUGCCUCUAUGAUGGAUUGUAAGCUACACAAUUAAAUAAACAUUACCCCCAUAA